rnacentral:rRNA from 1 species
CCUACGGGAGGCAGCAGUGAGGAAUAUUGGUCAAUGGGCGCAAGCCUGAACCAGCCAAGUAGCGUGCAGGAUGACGGCCCUACGGGUUGUAAACCUCUUUUAUCCGGGAACAACACGCCUUACGCGUAGCGCUUUGCGUGUACCCUAUGAAUAAGCACCGGCUAAUUCCGUGCCAGCAGCCGCGGUAAUACGGAGGGUGCGAGCGUUAUCCGGAUUUAUUGGGUUUAAAGGGUGCGCAGGCGGAAGUUCAAGUCUGCGGUAAAAGUGAGGGGCUCAACCCGGUCCUGCCGCUGAAACUGGCGUGCUUGAGUGAGUGAGAAGUAGGCGGAAUUCGUGGUGUAGCGGUGAAAUGCUUAGAUAUGACGCAGAACCCCGAUUGCGAAGGCAGCAUGCCGGCGCGGAACUGACGCUGAUGCACGAAAGCGGGGGUAUCGAACAGGAUUAGAUACCCUGGUAGUC